AACGAGCGCUGGCGGCAUGCCUAACACAUGCAAGUCGAACGAGACCUUCGGGUCUAGUGGCGCACGGGUGCGUAACGCGUGGGAACCUGCCCUUAGGUUCGGAAUAACUCCCCGAAAGGGGUGCUAAUACCGGAUAAUGUCUUCGGACCAAAGAUUUAUCGCCUUUGGAUGGGCCCGCGUUGGAUUAGCUAGUUGGUAGGGUAAAAGCCUACCAAGGCGACGAUCCAUAGCUGGUCUGAGAGGAUGAUCAGCCACACUGGGACUGAGACACGGCCCAGACUCCUACGGGAGGCAGCAGUGGGGAAUAUUGGACAAUGGGCGAAAGACUGAUCCAGCAAUGCCGAGUGAGUGAUGAAGGCCUUAGGGUUGUAAAGCUCUUUUACCCGGGAUGAUAAUGACAGUACCGGGAGAAUAAGCUCCGGCUAACUCCGUG
rnacentral:rRNA from 1 species